rnacentral:rRNA from 1 species
ACGGCUCAGUAACACGUAGCUAACGUGCCCUUUGGGACGGGAUCACCCCCGGGAAACUGGGGCUAAUCCCCGAUAGGUGAAGAACUCUGGAAUGAGUCUUUGCUCAAAGGGCGCCAGAUCAUGCUUCUGGUUUCGCCCAAGGAUGGGGCCGCGACCGAUCAGGUUGUUGGUGAGGUAAUGGCCCACCAAGCCUAUAACCGGUGCGGGCCGUGAGAGCGGGAGCCCGGAGAUGGGCACUGAGACAAGGGCCCAGGUCCUACGGGGCGCAGCAGUCGCGAAAACUUUGCAAUACACGAAAGUGUGACAGGGUUAUCCCGAGUGCCGACCGCUGAGGUUGGCUUUUACCCAGUCUAGAAAGCUGGGGGAAUAAGGAGAGGGCAAGUCUGGUGUCAGCCGCCGCGGUAAUACCAGCUCUCCGAGUGGUGUGGACGUUUAUUGGGCCUAAAGCAUCCGUAGCUGGCUGAACAAGUCCCCUGUUAAACCCACCGAUUUAAUCGUUGGCGUGCGGGGGAUACUGCUCGGCUAGGGGACGAGAGAGGCAGACGGUAUUCCCGGGGUAGGGGUGAAAUCCUAUAAUCCCGAGAAGACCACCAGUGGCGAAGGCUGUCUGCUAGAACGCGCCCGACGGUGAGGGAUGAAAGCUGGGGGAGCGAACCGGAUUAGAUACCCGGGUAGUCCCAGCUGUAAACGAUGCAGACUAGGUGUUUGGACGGCCACGUGCCGUUCUAGUGCCGCAGGGAAGCUGUUAAGUCUGCCGCCUGGGGAGUACGAUCGCAAGAUUGAAACUUAAAGGAAUUGGCGGGGGAG